rnacentral:lncRNA from 10 species
UUUCUCCCCAAGAUCUGUGUCCCAGUCCCAUAUUCCAACUAAAGCCAAAUUUUAAAGCUAUCUGCAGGGCCCCAGAAGACAGCAAGACGGCAAUAGAUGAUUUGUUCUGUUCCUCCCCAAGACUUCAAAGAACUGCAAGAAGAUUAACUGCUCUGUUGCAUUUCCACAGUGACUACAGUGACAACUCAGCUCAAGGCUACUGCAAAGAUAGGACUGAGGCUGCAGGCUUCUUUCAGCAAGCAAAAGAAACCAGCUGAACUCCUAGGAUUGUUUUGAAAGCCCAGGCAAACGGCACAUUUGAGAACUGAAUUUGGCUCCAUUUGUGCAAGAGAAGGUGGGUGGCUUCAGCUGCCUAGGAAACAGGCUUUGAAUAUG